UGUGCUGAUAUAAUUACUUGUAGAUCUUCUUCUUUUUUUUUUCUUUCUUUUUUAAAAUCAGAAAAUAAUUCAAAUCCAUUCUAUUGACUGUGGCUUCCCAACUACAAAGGAUUAUAAAAGCAUGUAUUUGGAGCACAGGGACCCGGGCAGCUUUCCAAACGACAGGUUCAGCCCUGAACCUCUCACCAUGCGCACACGGAGAUUCUGUAAAAAAAACACCCGCUUGAUUACACACUUCAUCUGGUUUAGGAGGACACAGGGCUGAGAAAGGAAAGAGACAGAGAAGGAGACACUAAACGGACACACUGGGAGGAGGCUUGGCUCUGCCGGAGCAUCGGGUUACAGUCUUUGGAUCUGUUCUCAGAAUCUAUGAAUGUUCAUUUGUGAGAAGUAAGAGUAACAGAGCCCAGCACUCUGAAAAGGCCUUUCACUGCCGUAUCAACUGACACCACUAUAACCAAGGAAUGCACCAGCUAUACUACACAGGAGCUACAAAACUCAGCUGGAGCAGAUAAGGCCGGGUAUUGUGUCCCUGUGGGGGUAGAGUGACAGUCUGACUCACUGAACUGCUGUUCCAGUGAGAUUAGACCUGUAUGAAAUGUUAGUUUAUAAAAGUAGGAGGAUUAUGUUUAACCCUUAAAUAAAUACAUGGUGGGGAAAAGGCCUUUUUUUCAGCAUCUUAUAUUUUAAAUUCCUCAAAGAUCUUAUGGCAGACAUCCCCCCCCUUUUAUAAUUUUUAAAUAUUGUUCUUACAUCCACAGCUUCUUGUGAUGUUUUCAAAUGAAGCUUUAGGUGUCUUUCGAAAUGUUUAAUGACAUCAUCACCCAAUAAAAAAGGGAAUUUGUUAUUGUGAUUAGUUAAAAAUGGAAGUUAUGGUGCUGAGAGAUUGCUGAUAGGCCUCCCUGAUAAUAAAGGUGCAGGCUUUUCUUUGUGUGCGUCAUGCUCAGAAGCAAACCGUUUUUGACCGCAAUGAUCAUGUCGUUAUACCUCCAAUGGUGACAAAUAUUAAGCAGUAUUUUGUUGGAUAAAACAUGUUAUGAAUUUUGGAAAUGAUUGUAUACUAUCAUCUUAUUUUAGGGAUAUUAUUUUAUCCCUAAAAUAAUUUAAAAAAAUUGGAACUGUCCCUAACAGAUUCAAUUUGUUCUAAUAUGGGCCGUUUGAAGCUUGUAGGUCAAAAAACAUUGGCAGAAACAUUCUCUUACAUUUAUGUCACAAUUUUACCAGAAAGAAAAUUGGAAAGAUUGUGCUUAAAUGUGUUCCUCGUAAAUGUAUGACAGAAAUUCUGCAGAAUAUCUGGUAAAUGUAGGACUUCAAAACUGUUUUUUAUCCUGGGAACAUUAUCCCCAACCUCUGGCUCCAGUCAUUUUUAGAUUAUGUUUUAAUUGCAGAUAAAUUGGGAUAGUACGUUGUGAAAGACCCAUACAAUUUGUUUUAAUCCAUGAUAAUUAUUGCAGCAACUGCCAUUGUGGAUUUAAGGAGGAGAGGAAUGACCCACUCUCCAUGUUCCCUCUUUGUGUGUUGUAGGAGGGAGCCUCCUCCCUCCGUCAUGCUCUCCUGUGUUUGCUGAGCUCACCCGCAGAUGGACUGCAUUAAUCUGCAGCCGUGUGCACAUAUCCAGGAAGUGGGGCACUCCCCUGGCCUCCAGCACAGCGUAGACAGCCACCCCCCUCCGUGAUGAGGCAUCCAGCAGGUCCUGGAUGAUCUGCAGGUCUGUCAGCAGGUCCAUCACUAUGGCCACCACCUGGGGAAAACAAGUGGGGGGAGAGGAGGAGGGGGGUUCAAUGCAGCUAAACAGAGCGACAGCAGCUGUGGUGGAAAGUAACUAAAUACACUCAAUCCUAGUAAUUAAAUUGGAUGCGUCUUUACACUAUUGAAAACAUUUUAGAGGGAAAUAUUGGGAUAAGAUUACAGAUUAAUAUUUUAGAUCUUACAUUUACGAUGUGAUUAUAAAAUAGUAUGCAUUGUUACCAAACCACUGGUUCUCAACCCUAUUUAUUAGACAUACCACCACAGCCCAGUCAGAUUAUUUCAUCCAUUCACCCUUAACAUUCAGCUAUCAAUGUCAACUAUGGACCAGCAUUGAGCUAAUUAUCUCAUUUUCUUAGUAAAAGUAAGAUGAGUUCAAAUCUGUUUAUUCAUUCAUUUUGCUGUUUAUCGAUGACUUGGCUACUGCUUAUCCAUUAGCACUAGUUACAUUCACAUAAAGUUCAUUUUCUUUUUUUUACUGUAAGAACAUGUUCUAUGGUUUUGUAAACCUACUCAAACUUUUUUCACACAUAUUCAGGGGAAGACUUUUGCUGGCUUCUUUUUUGUAUUAUUUAAAAAUGAGUGCAUUCAGGAUUUCUAGAUCUUUUUAUUGAAAGUACAUUGUAGCAUUGUGACAAUCACCUUGACCAAGCCAAAAGACAAGACACCGGAGAUCUUCCCUGUUUGCCUGUAUUAUUCUGGAAUCCCUUUUUUUCCUUUUGAUUCUCUUUCCUCAUAUCCAUUUUGUUUUCCAGUAAAAUAAAACCUCCCCAGGUGGAUAUGUUAA